rnacentral:rRNA from 1 species
UCGACGGGAGAAUUGCUAGCUUGCUAAUAAUUCUCUAGUGGCGCACGGGUGAGUAACACGUGAGUAACCUGCCCCCAAGAGUGGGAUAGCCCCGGGAAACUGGGAUUAAUACCGCAUAAAAUCGCAAGAUUAAAGCAGCAAUGCGCUUGGGGAUGGGCUCGCGUCCUAUUAGUUAGUUGGUGAGGUAACGGCUCACCAAGGCGAUGACGGGUAGCCGGUCUGAGAGGAUGUCCGGCCACACUGGAACUGAGACACGGUCCAGACACCUACGGGUGGCAGCAGUCGAGAAUCAUUCACAAUGGGGGAAACCCUGAUGGUGCGACGCCGCGUGGGGGAAUGAAGGUCUUCGGAUUGUAAACCCCUGUCAUGUGGGAGCAAAUUAAAAAGAUAGUACCACAAGAGGAAGAGACGGCUAACUCUGUGCCAGCAGCCGCGGUAAUACAGAGGUCUCAAGCGUUGUUCGGAAUCACUGGGCGUAAAGCGUGCGUAGGCGGUUUCGUAAGUCGUGUGUGAAAGGCGGGGGCUCAACCCCCGGACUGCACAUGAUACUGCGAGACUAGAGUAAUGGAGGGGGAACCGGAAUUCUCGGUGUAGCAGUGAAAUGCGUAGAUAUCGAGAGGAACACUCGUGGCGAAGGCGGGUUCCUGGACAUUAACUGACGCUGAGGCACGAAGGCCAGGGGAGCGAAAGGGAUUAGAUACCCCUGUAGUCCUGGCA